UACAGAGGUCUCAAGCGUUGUUCGGAUUCAUUGGGCGUAAAGGGUGCGUAGGUGGCGCUGUAAGUCGGGUGUGAAAUUUCGGAGCUUAACUCCGAAACUGCAUUCGAUACUGCGGUGCUUGAGGACUGGAGAGGAGACUGGAAUUCAUGGUGUAGCAGUGAAAUGCGUAGAGAUCAUGAGGAAGACCAGUGGCGAAGGCGGGUCUCUGGACAGUAUCUGACGCUGAGGCACGAAGGCCAGGGGAGCGAACGGG
rnacentral:rRNA from 1 species